UACGUAGGGGGCUAGCGUUGUCCGGAUUUAUUGGGCGUAAAGAGCGUGUAGGCGGCCAGAUAAGUCCGCUGUGAAAUCUCGAGGCUCAACUUCGAGCUGUCGGUGGAAACUAUCUGGCUAGAGUCCGGAAGAGGAGAAUGGAAUUCCUGGUGUAGCGGUGAAAUGCGCAGAUAUCAGGAAGAACACCCGUGGCGAAGGCGGUUCUCUGGGACGGUACUGACGCUGAGACGCGAAAGCGUGGGGAGCGAACAGG
rnacentral:rRNA from 1 species